rnacentral:rRNA from 1 species
GACGAACGCUGGCGGCGUGCCUAAUACAUGCAAGUCGAGCGCAGGAAGCCGUCUGAACCCUUCGGGGGGACGACGGUGGAAUGAGCGGCGGACGGGUGAGUAACACGUAAAGAACCUGCCCAUAGGUCUGGGAUAACCACGAGAAAUCGGGGCUAAUACCGGAUGUGUCAUCGGACCGCGUGGUCCGCUGAUGAAAGGCGCUCCGGCGUCGCCCAUGGAUGGCUUUGCGGUGCAUUAGCUAGUUGGUGGGGUAACGGCCCACCAAGGCGACGAUGCAUAGCCGACCUGAGAGGGUGAUCGGCCACACUGGGACUGAGACACGGCCCAGACUCCUACGGGAGGCAGCAGUAGGGAAUCUUCCACAAUGGACGAAAGUCUGAUGGAGCAACGCCGCGUGAACGAUGAAGGCUUUCGGGUCGUAAAGUUCUGUUGUAAGGGAAGAACAAGUGCCGCAGGCAAUGGCGGCACCUUGACGGUACCUUGCGAGAAAGCCACGGCUAACUACGUGCCAGCCGCCGCGGUAAAAC